rnacentral:lncRNA from 1 species
AGGGCACCAAAAGGAGGGAACACGUGAAGUCGAGCGACAUGGAACGAAAAACUACGUGAUCAACAUCAGCGCUGGUUGCUCGGGCGGUGGCCCCGACGCCCGGGUGGUGGACGUUCGAAGCUUGGGCGUCCAAAAUCUGACGCGCAAGCCUUACAUGAGCUUUAAUUCUCGCCCAGGCGAGCUCCCUGCGACGCUUGGGCAUGAUUUCACUUGGAUCGCACCCUGUUUCUGCUCUGUUUUGAUUCUUUUGGACCGGGCCGCACUCUGGGACGCGUUUGAAACUAUUUAAAGGACCGUGGGGCUCUAGGUUUUGCAUCCCUGGCAGAGAAGAGCAUGGCAAUA